AGUGAACGCUGGCGGUAGGCCUAACACAUGCAAGUCGAACGGCAGCACAGUAAGAGCUUGCUCUUACGGGUGGCGAGUGGCGGACGGGUGAGGAAUACAUCGGAAUCUACUUUUUCGUGGGGGAUAACGUAGGGAAACUUACGCUAAUACCGCAUACGCCCUACGGGUGAAAGCAGGGGAUCUUCGGACCUUGCGCGAUUGAAUGAGCCGAUGUCGGAUUAGCUAGUUGGCGGGGUAAAGGCCCACCAAGGCGACGAUCCGUAGCUGGUCUGAGAGGAUGAUCAGCCACACUGGAACUGAGACACGGUCCAGACUCCUACGGGAGGCAGCAGUGGGGAAUAUUGGACAAUGGGCGCAAGCCUGAUCCAGCCAGACCGCGUGUGUGAAGAAGGCCUUCGGGUUGUAAAGCCCUUUUGUUGGGAAAGAAAAGCAGCAGGUUAAUACCCCGCUGUUCUGACGGUACCCAAAGAAUAAGCACCGGCUAACUUCGUG
rnacentral:rRNA from 1 species